rnacentral:rRNA from 1 species
CAGUCGCCGCGGUAAUACGUAGGGUGCAAGCGUUAAUCGGAAUUACUGGGCGUAAAGCGUGCGCAGGCGGUUAUAUAAGACAGAUGUGAAAUCCCCGGGCUCAACCUGGGAACUGCAUUUGUGACUGUAUAGCUAGAGUACGGCAGAGGGGGAUGGAAUUCCGCGUGUAGCAGUGAAAUGCGUAGAUAUGCGGAGGAACACCGAUGGCGAAGGCAAUCCCCUGGGCCUGUACUGACGCUCAUGCACGAAAGCGUGGGGAGCAAACAGGAUUAGAUACCCCGGUAGUCCCUGUCUCUUAUAU